rnacentral:rRNA from 1 species
GACGAACGCUGGCGGCGUGCCUAAUACAUGCAAGUUGAGCGCUGAAGGUUGGUACUUGUACCGACUGGAUGAGCAGCGAACGGGUGAGUAACGCGUGGGGAAUCUGCCUUUGAGCGGGGGACAACAUUUGGAAACGAAUGCUAAUACCGCAUAAAAACUUUAAACACAAGUUUUAAGUUUGAAAGAUGCAAUUGCAUCACUCAAAGAUGAUCCCGCGUUGUAUUAGCUAGUUGGUGAGGUAAAGGCUCACCAAGGCGAUGAUACAUAGCCGACCUGAGAGGGUGAUCGGCCACAUUGGGACUGAGAGACGGCCCAAACUCCUACGGGAGGCAGCAGUAGGGAAUCUUCGGCAAUGGACGAAAGUCUGACCGAGCAACGCCGCGUGAGUGAAGAAGGUUUUCGGAUCGUAAAACUCUGUUGGUAGAGAGGAACGUUGGUGAGAGUGGAAAGCUCAUCAAGUGACGGUAACUACCCAGAAAGGGACGGCUAACUACGUGCCAGCAGCCGCGGUAA